GACGUAGGUGGCGAACGUUAUCCGGAAUCAUUGGGCGUAAAGGAUGCGUAGAUGGUGUAGUAAGUUAUCGGUGGCAAAUCGAGGCUCAACCUCGUGGAAGUCGGUAAUACUGCUAUGCUAGAGGAUAGGAGAGGUUAACGGAACUCCCUGUGGAGCGGUGAAAUGCGUAGAUAUAGGGAAGAACACCAAUCAGGCGAAGGCAGUUAACUAUUCUAUUCCUGACAUUGAGGCAUGAAAGCGUGGGGAGCAAAACGG
rnacentral:rRNA from 1 species